rnacentral:rRNA from 1 species
ACGGGUGAGUAACGCGUAAAGAACUUGCCGGAUGGACCGGGAUAACAGCUGGAAACGGCUGGCAAGACCGGAUACUAUGGGCUGGCCGCAUGGCUGGCCCAUGAAAAGGGAUGCCGUCCGAGAGCUUUGCGUCCUAUUAGCUGGUUGGUAAGGUGACGGCUUACCAAGGCGAUGAUAGGUAGCCGGCCUGAGAGGGUGGACGGCCACAAGGGGACUGAGAUACGGCCCUUACUCCUACGGGAGGCAGCAGUGGGGAAUAUUGGACAAUGGGGGCAACCCUGAUCCAGCAAUUCUGUGUGCACGAAGAAGGUUUUCGGAUCGUAAAGUGCUUUCAGCAGGGAGGAAGGAAGUGACUGUACCUGCAGAAGAAGCGACGGCUAAAUACGUGCCAGCAGCCGCGGUAAUACGUAUGUCGCGAGCGUUAUCCGGAAUUAUUGGGCAUAAAGGGCAUCUAGGCGGCCGGGUAAGUCCGGGGUGAAAACUGCUGGCUCAACCAGCAGCCUGCCUUGGAAACUACCCGGCUGGAGUGCUGGAGAGGUGGACGGAACUGCACGAGUAGAGGUGAAAUUCGUAGAUAUGUGCAGGAAUGCCGAUGAUGAAGAUAGUUCACUGGACGGCAACUGACGCUGAAGUGCGAAAGCUAGGGGAGCGAACAGGAUUAGAUACCCU